GAUGAACGCUGGCGGCGUGCUUAAUACAUGCAAGUCGAACGGGGUAUGUAGCGAUAUAUACCCAGUGGCGAACGGGUGAGUAACGCGUUGGUGACCUGCCCCAAAGCGGGGGAUAACAGUUCGAAAGGACUGCUAAUACCCCAUGAUGUCUCCGGUGUUAGAGGAUUGGAGACGAAAGGAGCGAUCCGCUCUGGGAGGGGCCUGCGUCCCAUCAGCUAGUUGGUAAGGGAAAGGCUUACCAAGGCGAAGACGGGUGGGGGGCCGGAGAGGGGGACCCCCCACACUGGCACUGAAACACGGGCCAGGCACCGACGGGUGGCAGCAGGAGGGAAUAUUGCACAAUGGGCGAAAGCCUGAUGCAGCAACGCCGCGUGCGCGAAGAAGGUCUUAGGAUCGUAAAGCGCUUUUCGGGGAGAUGAGGAAGGACAGUAUCCCCGGAAUAAGGCUCGGCUAACUACGUGCCAGCAGCCGCCGUAACAC
rnacentral:rRNA from 1 species